UACGUAGGGUGCAAGCGUUGUCCGGAAUUAUUGGGCGUAAAGAGCUUGUAGGCGGUUUGUCGCGUCUGCUGUGAAAUUUCGGGGCUCAACCCCGAACUUGCAGUGGGUACGGGCAGACUAGAGUGUGGUAGGGGAGACUGGAAUUCCUGGUGUAGCGGUGAAAUGCGCAGAUAUCAGGAGGAACACCGGUGGCGAAGGCGGGUCUCUGGGCCGAUACUGACGCUGAGGCGCGAAAGCCAGGGGAGCAAACGGG
rnacentral:rRNA from 1 species